GGAGUUGGUAGCUCAGUGGUGGAGUGCACACGUUGUAUGUAUGAUGUCCUGGGUUCAUCCCCAGCUUCUCCC